rnacentral:rRNA from 2 species
GCGGCGUGCCUAAUACAUGCAAGUCGAACGAAACUUUCUUACACCGAAUGCUUGCAUUUCAUCGUAAGAAGUUGAGUGGCGGACGGGUGAGUAACACGUGGGUAACCUGCCUAAAAGAAGGGGAUAACACUUGGAAACAGGUGCUAAUACCGUAUAUCUCUAAGGAUCGCAUGAUCCUUAGAUGAAAGAUGGUUCUGCUAUCGCUUUUAGAUGGACCCGCGGCGUAUUAACUAGUUGGUGGGGUAACGGCCUACCAAGGUGAUGAUACGUAGCCGAACUGAGAGGUUGAUCGGCCACAUUGGGACUGAGACACGGCCCAAACUCCUACGGGAGGCAGCAGUAGGGAAUCUUCCACAAUGGACGCAAGUCUGAUGGAGCAACGCCGCGUGAGUGAAGAAAGGUCUUUCGGAUCGUAAAAAC